UAGGGAAUCUUCCACAAUGGACGCAAGUCUGAUGGAGCAACGCCGCGUGAGUGAAGAAGGGUUUCGGCUCGUAAAGCCCUGUUGUUAAAGAAGAACGUGGGUAAGAGUAACUGUUUACCCAGUGACGGUAUUUAACCAGAAAGCCGCGGCUAACUACGUGCCAG
rnacentral:rRNA from 1 species